AGAGAGAGACAUGCGCGCAUAUCAAUAAGCGGAGGAAAAGAAACUAACUAGGAUUCCCUCAGUAACGGCGAGUGAAGCGGGAAGAGCUCAAAUUUGAAAUCUUCAAGGUUCUACCUUGACGGAUUGUAGUUUAAAGAAGUGUUUUCUGUUGGAGUUUUGGUAAAAGUUCUUUGGAAUAGGACAUCAUAGAGGGUGAGAAUCCCGUAUUUGACCAUUAUUUCCAACUUUGUGAUACACUUUCAAAGAGUCGGAUUGCUUGGGAAUGCAGUCCAAAAUGGGUGGUAAAUUUCAUCUAAAGCUAAAUAUUGGCGAGAGACCGAUAGCGAACAAGUACCGUGAGGGAAAGAUGAAAAGAACUUUGAAAAGAGAGUUAAACAGUACGUGAAAUUGUCAAAAGGGAAGCGUUUGACACCAGUGUUGUUUUCUCGAAAAUCAAUUAAAAAUGGCAGGAUUUUGUGUUGUAUUGACUUUAUCAGCUUUCUGCACUUUUCUCUUGUCUUUUUUAAUGCACUUUUCGUUUAACAAGUCAACAUCAAUUUCUUUUGUUGUAAAAGGGUCAUUGGAAGGUGGCUUUCUUUUCGGAGAAAGUGUUUAUUGCCUUUGGCCUCUGCAAUCGGAGAGAUUGAGGUCUGCAGCGCAGAUCCUUCGGGGUUAGAUGCAUAUUGUGCUAAGUUAUAGCCUUUCAUAGACAACUUGUUGACUAUGUUAUCAGUCAUUGUAGCUUACUCGCUUAUGCUAUUUUACCUACGCUUAGGAUGUUGACAGCAGUAUAGACUGU
rnacentral:rRNA from 1 species